GACGAACGCUGGCGGCGUGCCUAAUACAUGCAAGUCGAACGAACUCUGGUAUUGAUUGGUGCUUGCAUCAUGAUUUACAUUUGAGUGAGUGGCGAACUGGUGAGUAACACGUGGGAAACCUGCCCAGAAGCGGGGGAUAACACCUGGAAACAGAUGCUAAUACCGCAUAACAACUUGGACCGCAUGGUCCGAGUUUGAAAGAUGGCUUCGGCUAUCACUUUUGGAUGGUCCCGCGGCGUAUUAGCUAGAUGGUGAGGUAACGGCUCACCAUGGCAAUGAUACGUAGCCGACCUGAGAGGGUAAUCGGCCACAUUGGGACUGAGACACGGCCCAAACUCCUACGGGAGGCAGCAGUAGGGAAUCUUCCACAAUGGACGAAAGUCUGAUGGAGCAACGCCGCGUGAGUGAAGAAGGGUUUCGGCUCGUAAAACUCUGUUGUUAAAGAAGAACAUAUCUGAGAGUAACUGUUCAGGUAUUGACGGUAUUUAACCAGAAAGUCACGGCUAACUACGUGCCAGCAGCCGCGGUAAUACGUAGGUGGCAAGCGUUGUCCGGAUUUAUUGGGCGUAAAGCGAGCGCAGGCGGUUUUUUAAGUCUGAUGUGAAAGCCUUUGGCUCAACCGAAGAAGUGCAUCGGAAACUGGGAAACUUGAGUGCAGAAGAGGACAGUGGAACUCCAUGUGUAGCGGUGAAAUGCGUAGAUAUAUGGAAGAACACCAGUGGCGAAGGCGGCUGUCUGGUCUGUAACUGACGCUGAGGCUCGAAAGUAUGGGUAGCAAACAGGAUUAGAUACCCUGGUAGUCCAUACCGUAAACGAUGAAUGCUAAGUGUUGGAGGGUUUCCGCCCUUCAGUGCUGCAGCUAACGCAUUAAGCAUUCCGCCUGGGGAGUACGGCCGCAAGGCUGAAACUCAAAGGAAUUGACGGGGGCCCGCACAAGCGGUGGAGCAUGUGGUUUAAUUCGAAGCUACGCGAAGAACCUUACCAGGUCUUGACAUACUAUGCAAAUCUAAGAGAUUAGACGUUCCCUUCGGGGACAUGGAUACAGGUGGUGCAUGGUUGUCGUCAGCUCGUGUCGUGAGAUGUUGGGUUAAGUCCCGCAACGAGCGCAACCCUUAUUAUCAGUUGCCAGCAUUAAGUUGGGCACUCUGGUGAGACUGCCGGUGACAAACCGGAGGAAGGUGGGGAUGACGUCAAAUCAUCAUGCCCCUUAUGACCUGGGCUACACACGUGCUACAAUGGAUGGUACAACGAGUUGCGAACUCGCGAGAGUAAGCUAAUCUCUUAAAGCCAUUCUCAGUUCGGAUUGUAGGCUGCAACUCGCCUACAUGAAGUCGGAAUCGCUAGUAAUCGCGGAUCAGCAUGCCGCGGUGAAUACGUUCCCGGGCCUUGUACACACCGCCCGUCACACCAUGAGCGUUUGUAACACCCAAAGUCGGUGGGGUAACCUUUUAGGAACCAGCCGCCUAAGGUGGGACAGAUGAUUAGGGUG
rnacentral:rRNA from 1 species